rnacentral:ncRNA from 2 species
AGGAAGGCAGCAGGCGCG